rnacentral:lncRNA from 1 species
AAGAUGACCACCUGGGUAGGGCACCACUCUGCUAUAUAUAUGUGCCUCAUUUGGCAUCCACUUUGCAUGUCUGCUGCUGGGCUUCCAUCUGUCGACUCUCAACAUAAUGUCAGAGAUAAAAACUGAAGACUCCAUGGCUUCAAAUGCAUUUUUCUGCUGGCUGCCUGAUGGCUGUCUGGGGACAUAAAAUUUAGAAAGCAAUCCUUGCUGACUGGCCCUCUUACUGACCUCAAAAGAUGGGGAACAUGUUCCAGUUGGACCUCAAACUCAGUACCACAUACAAGCUUUCUCACUCACCCAGAGCCAUUAUCUAUCCUACUCUCAGCACAGACUUGCUCCACUUUAUAAUCCUUGACAAGCUGCAGGAGACUCUAGAAUAAAUCACCUUCCAACAAUACUCCAUCCAGAGGAGAGAACCUGGAGCCACACUGGCUGGGCCAAGGACUGGAGCACUGUUUUCUGGCUGUGUGAC